UGCUGUGCUCAAUCUGUAAGAUACUAAAAAUUAGAAUGAUACAGAGAAGAUGAGCUUGGCCCCCAUGCAAGGAUGACACACAAAUUCUUAAAGUGUUCCAUAUUUUU